GAUGAACGCUGGCGGCGUGCCUAAUACAUGCAAGUCGAGCGAACAGACGAGGAGCUUGCUCCUCUGACGUUAGCGGAGGACGGGUGAGUAACACGAGGAUAACCUACCUAUAAGACUGGGAUAACUUCGGGAAACCGGAGCUAAUACCGGAUAAUAUAUUGAACCGCAUGGGUCAAUAGUGAAAGACGGCUUUGCGGGCACGUAUAGAUGGAUCCGCGCCGCAUUAGCUAGUUGGUAAGGUAACGGCUUACCAAGGCGACGAUGCGUAGCCGACCUGAGAGGGUGAUCGGCCACACUGGAACGGAGACACGGUCCAGACUCCUACGGGAGGCAGCAGUAGGGAAUCUUCCGCAAUGGGCGAAAGCCUGACGGAGCAACGCCGCGUGAGUGAUGAAGGUCUUCGGAUCGUAAAACUCUGUUAUUAGGGAAGAACAAAUGUGUAAGUAACUAUGCACGUCUUGACGGUACCUAAUCAGAAAGCCACGGCUAACUACGUG
rnacentral:rRNA from 1 species